rnacentral:rRNA from 1 species
AUUGAACGCUGGCGGCAGGCCUAACACAUGCAAGUCGAGCGAGCGGCGGACGGGUGAGUAAUGUCUGGGAAACUGUCUGAUGGAGGGGGAUAACUACUGGACACGGUAUCUAAUACCGCAUACCAUCAGAUGCGCCCAGAUGGGAUUAGCUAUUAGGUGGGGUAACGGCUCACCUCGGCGACGAUCCCUAGCUGGUCUGAGAGGAUGACCAGCCACACUGGAACUGAGACACGGUCCAGACUCCUACGGGAGGCAGCAGUGGGGAAUAUUGGACAAUGGGCGCAAGCCUGAUGCAGCCAUGCCGCGUGUGUGAAGAAGGCCUUCGGGUUGUAAAGUACUUUCAGCGGGGAGGCGUUACUCGCAGAAGAAGCACCGGCUAACUCCGUGCCAGCAGCCGCGGUAAUAC